rnacentral:rRNA from 1 species
UACAGAGGUGGCAAGCGUUGUUCGGAAUUACUGGGCGUAAAGGGCGCGUAGGCGGCCUUCUAAGUCGAACGUGAAAUCCCUGGGCUCAACCCAGGAACUGCGUCCGAUACUGGAAGGCUUGAAUCCGGGAGAGGGAUGCGGAAUUCCAGGUGUAGCGGUGAAAUGCGUAGAUAUCUGGAGGAACACCGGUGGCGAAGGCGACAUCCUGGACCGGUAUUGACGCUGAGGCGCGAAAGCCAGGGGAGCAAACGGG